UACGGAGGGUGCAAGCGCUAUCCGGAUUCACUGGGUUUAAAGGGUGCGUAGGAGGGCAGGUAAGUCAGUGGUGAAAUCUCCAAGCUUAACUUGGAAACUGCCGUUGAUACUAUCUGCCUUGAAUAUUGUGGAGGUGAGCGGAAUAUGUCAUGUAGCGGUGAAAUGCUUAGAUAUGACAUAGAACACCAAUUGCGAAGGCAGCUCACUACACAAUCAUUGACUCUGAGGCACGAAAGCGUGGGGAUCAAACAGG
rnacentral:rRNA from 1 species